rnacentral:lncRNA from 1 species
GGUAAAACAUAAUUAAAGACUUAGCAGGGGUUUUGAAAGUAUUUUCCCUUAGGGGAUAUUACAGACCAGCAAUAUAAAUAAGAGGUUCAUCAGAGUUGUGCAGCGAUGCAUUACUAUAUGUGUGAAGACAUAUAGCAGGGAGUAUAAUAUCUUAUAGAGUCAAAGCAAUAAGAUAAGCAUGAGACAUAGAAAGACACUGUCAACUGACAAUUCCAACAGCCUUCACCCAUCCUCGCGCCAAGCCAGACCUG